rnacentral:rRNA from 1 species
UACGAAGGGUGCAAGCGUUAAUCGGAAUUACUGGGCGUAAAGGGUGCGUAGGCGGUUGUUUAAGUCUGUCGUGAAAUCCCCGGGCUCAACCUGGGAAUGGCGAUGGAUACUGGACAGCUAGAGUGUGUCAGAGGAUGGUGGAAUUCCCGGUGUAGCGGUGAAAUGCGUAGAGAUCGGGAGGAACAUCAGUGGCGAAGGCGGCCAUCUGGGACAACACUGACGCUGAGGCGCGAAAGCUAGGGGAGCAAACGGG